rnacentral:tRNA from 1 species
CGUUCGUCCACUCAGCCAUCUCUCC